AUUGAACGCUGGCGGCAUGCUUUACACAUGCAAGUCGAACGGUAUCAGGCCGCAAGGUGCUGACGAGUGGCGAACGGGUGAGUAAUGCAUCGGAACGUGCCCAGUCGUGGGGGAUAACUACUCGAAAGAGUAGCUAAUACCGCAUACGAUCUAUGGAUGAAAGCGGGGGACCGUAAGGCCUCGCGCGAUUGGAGCGGCCGAUGUCAGAUUAGGUAGUUGGUGGGGUAAAGGCUCACCAAGCCAACGAUCUGUAGCUGGUCUGAGAGGACGACCAGCCACACUGGGACUGAGACACGGCCCAGACUCCUACGGGAGGCAGCAGUGGGGAAUUUUGGACAAUGGGCGCAAGCCUGAUCCAGCAAUGCCGCGUGCAGGAAGAAGGCCUUCGGGUUGUAAACUGCUUUUGUACGGAACGAAACGGCUCUGGUUAAUACCCGGGGCUAAUGACGGUACCGUAAGAAUAAGCACCGGCUAACUACGUG
rnacentral:rRNA from 1 species